rnacentral:rRNA from 1 species
CAGUAGCCGCGGUAAUACGAAGGGGGCUAGCGUUGCUCGGAAUGACUGGGCGUAAAGGGCGCGUAGGCGGCGAUCAAAGUCAGGCGUGAAAUUCCUGGGCUCAACCUGGGGGCUGCGCUUGAUACUUGGUUGCUUGAGUGGGGAAGAGGGUCGUGGAAUUCCCAGUGUAGAGGUGAAAUUCGUAGAUAUUGGGAAGAACACCGGUGGCGAAGGCGGCGACCUGGUCCUUGACUGACGCUGAGGCGCGAAAGCGUGGGGAGCAAACAGGAUUAGAUACCCCGGUAGUCCCUGUCUCUUAUAC